rnacentral:rRNA from 1 species
AUUGAACGCUGGCGGCAGGCCUAACACAUGCAAGUCGAGCGAGCGGCGGACGGGUGAGUAAUGUAUGGGGACUGCCCGAUAGAGGGGGAUAACUACUGGACACGGUAGCUAAUACCGCAUACUAUCGGAUAACCCAUAUGGGAGUAGCUAGUAGGUGAGGUAAUGGCUAACCUAGGAGACGAUCCCUAGCUGGGCUGAGAGGAUAAGCAGCCACAAUGGGACUGAGACACGGCCCAGACUCCUACGGAGGCAGCAGUGGGGAGUAUUGCACAAUGGGCGCAAGCCUGAUGCCGCCAUGCCGCGUGUAUGAAGAAGGCCCUAGGGUUGUAAAGUACUUUUAGGCGGGAGGCGUUACCGACAGAAGAAGCACCGGCUAACUCCGUGCCAGCAGCCGCGGUAAUUC